rnacentral:rRNA from 1 species
CCUACGGGGGGCAGCAGUGGGGAAUAUUGGGCAAUGGGCGCAAGCCUGACCCAGCAACGCCGCGUGAAGGAAGAAGGCUUUCGGGUUGUAAACUUCUUUUCUCAGGGACGAAGCAAGUGACGGUACCUGAGGAAUAAGCCACGGCUAACUACGUGCCAGCAGCCGCGGUAAUACGUAGGUGGCAAGCGUUAUCCGGAUUUACUGGGUGUAAAGGGCGUGUAGGCGGGACUGCAAGUCAGAUGUGAAAAUCAUGGGCUCAACCUAUGUCCUGCAUUUGAUACUGUAGUUCUUGAGUACUGGAGAGGCAGACGGAAUUCGUGGUGUAGCGGUGAAAUGCGUAGAUAUUAGGAGGAACACCAGUGGCGAAGGCGGUCUGCUGAACAGCAACUGACGCUGAGGCGCGAAAGCGUGGGGAGCAAACAGGAUUAGAUACCCUUGUAGUC